GACGAACGCUGGCGGCGUGCUUAACACAUGCAAGUCGAACGGAAAGGCCCUGCUUUUGUGGGGUGCUCGAGUGGCGAACGGGUGAGUAACACGUGAGUAACCUGCCCUUGACUUUGGGAUAACUUCAGGAAACUGGGGCUAAUACCGGAUAGGAGCUCCUGCUGCAUGGUGGGGGUUGGAAAGUUUCGGCGGUUGGGGAUGGACUCGCGGCUUAUCAGCUUGUUGGUGGGGUAGUGGCUUACCAGGGCUUUGACGGGUAGCCGGCCUGAGAGGGUGACCGGCCACAUUGGGACUGAGAUACGGCCCAGACUCCUACGGGAGGCAGCAGUGGGGAAUAUUGCACAAUGGGCGGAAGCCUGAUGCAGCAACGCCGCGUGCGGGAUGACGGCCUUCGGGUUGUAAACCGCUUUCGCCUGUGACGAAGCGUGAGCGACGGUAAUGGGUAAAGAAGCACCGGCUAACUACGUG
rnacentral:rRNA from 1 species